rnacentral:rRNA from 1 species
CGUGUAGGCGGAUCUGUAAGCCGAUGGUGAAAUCCCCGGGCUCAACCCUGGGUGGUCUGUCGGAACUGCAGGUCUAGAGAAAGCCAGAGGCAGGUGGAAUUCCAGGUGUAGAGGUGAAAUUCGUAGAGAUCUGGAGGAACACCGGCGGCGAAGGCGGCCUGCUGGGGCUUUUCUGACGCUGAGGCGCGAAAGCGUGGGGAGCAAACAGGAUUAGAUACCCUGGUAGUCCACGCUGUAAACGAUGAGCACUCGAUGUGCGAGGUAUACGACCCCUCGCGUGUCACAGCUAACGCAUUAAGUGCUCCGCCUGGGGAUUACGGUCGCAAGACUAAA